GGAUUAGAUACCCUGGUAGUCCACGCCGUAAACGAUGCAUACUCGCUGUGGGCACGUUAUAGUGUCCGUGGCCAAGCGAAAGUCAUAAGUAUGCCACCUGGGGAGUACGUCGGCAACGAUGAAACUCAAAGGAAUUGACGGGGGCCCGCACAAGCGGAGGAACAUGUGGUUUAAUUCGAUGAUACGCGAGGAACCUUACCUGGGCUUAAAUGGAGAUUGCAUAAACCAGAGAUGGUUUUUUCUUCGGACUAUCUUCAAGGUGCUGCAUGGUUGUCGUCAGCUCGUGCCG
rnacentral:rRNA from 1 species